AUUGAACGCUGGCGGAAUGCUUUACACAUGCAAGUCGAACGGCAGCACGGACUUCAGUCUGGUGGCGAGUGGCGAACGGGUGAGUAAUACAUCGGAACGUGCCCAAUCGUGGGGGAUAACGUAGCGAAAGCUACGCUAAUACCGCAUACGAUCUAAGGAUGAAAGCGGGGGAUCGCAAGACCUCGCGCGAUUGGAGCGGCCGAUGGCAGAUUAGGUUGUUGGUAGGGUAAAGGCCUACCAAGCCGACGAUCUGUAGCUGGUCUGAGAGGAUGUUCAGCAACACUGGGACUUGGACACGGCCCAGACUCCUACGGGAGGCAGCAGUGGGGAAUUUUGGACAAUGGACGCAAGUCUGAUCCAGCCAUUCCGCGUGCAGGAUGAAGGCCCUCGGGUUGUAAACUGCUUUUGUACAGAACGAAAAGGCUCUGGUUAAUACCUAGGGCUCAUGACGGUACUGUAAGAAUAAGCACCGGCUAACUACGUGCCAGCCGCCGCAGUAA
rnacentral:rRNA from 1 species